UACGUAGGGGGCUAGCGUUGUCCGGAUUUAUUGGGCGUAAAGCGCGUGUAGGCGGCCAGACAGGUCCGACGUGAAAUCUCGAGGCUCAACCUCGAGCGGUCGUUGGAAACUAUCCGGCUAGAGUCCGGAAGAGGAGAGUGGAAUUCCCGGUGUAGCGGUGAAAUGCGCAGAUAUCGGGAAGAACACCCAUGGCGAAGGCAGCUCUCUGGGACGGUACUGACGCUGAGACGCGAAAGCGUGGGGAGCGAACAGGAUUAGAAACCCGAGUAGU
rnacentral:rRNA from 1 species